GAUUUCUAACGCUGAGCAACGGUUGCAAAUCUCGAAUUAAUUAGCUGAAAAUGGGAAUAUAUUUUAAGCAAUGGGCACUUUUAUUAAUGCCCUUACUAGUUCAAUCAAACGGAGUAUCGACAAAUGACUCGUGCACAAGGGAUUCGAGAGAGAAGGAUUCGGAGUGCGGAACCUACUGCUAUAAAGUGGUUAAACCGCUUCUUAGCUACGCAGCCUCUAUACGAGCAAAGGAAGAACAAUUCCUAGAUUUAGAGAGUAAAAUCAAUGAGCAAAAGGCGGUUAUAUUAAAUUUGGACCUUCAACUAACUCAUCAAAUCGACUUGACCACCUCGUAUAAAAGCAAUAUUGCACUGUUACAGAAACAACUCGUCUCAAAUGAUGUUCUUAUAACUAAUUUGCAAUCCAAAGUUAAUUCGGCAGAUUCCCUAAUCAAUGAAAAAGAUGAAGAAUUAAAGAUAUCGCGAUCGAAGCAAAAAAAUAAUGAAUCUAAUGUUGCCAAGAUCAAACAACUUGAAUCAAAACUCUCAGAGUGUGAAGCGAUGUCUAUAGUCUCUUUAAUGCGACAAUGAUGAGGCUACGGGUAACUGGCCGUAUUUACGAGUCUGGAUGGUGGUUUUCUGACUGUUAUAACUGAUGGACGAUACACAUCGGAAGAUGUUGGGAUCACUGGGAAAAGAAUAGGUUGGAAUUCAUGGCAACUGAAACCUCUU